AUAAAAAUGUUUGAACAAGAAAUGUAUUGUUUCAGGAGUGAUUCCUUCAUCGAGUGGUUUAGAAAAGAGCAAAUAUCAGAUCCUCACCAAUGAUCGAUUAUUUACUGCAGCUAUUGAAGUCAUGCCUUGGGAAAAAGGUAUUCCUCCACCCUGCGAAACUCUUGAAUGGGAAGCAGAUAAUCAGUUCACUAAUCAGCUUUUUAGAAGUAAAUUUAUGAAAAGAUUGAUUGCCUUCUACAUUCCUGUCUCCUCUUCACAAGAAGAUGGUUGAAGUGAAGAAUCUGAUCUCAGUCAUGUCAUCAUUUCAAUAUUUAUUUAUUUAUUGUGAUAUAUUUUGUGUACAAAUAAAAUGAUUUAAACAAAA